GACGACAUGGCCGAGCGGUCUAAGGCGCAACGUUAAGGCCGUUGUCUUCGGGCGGGGGUUCGAAUCCCCCUGUCGUCA